rnacentral:lncRNA from 1 species
CCCACAUGGUAGAAAACUCUCCUUCACUUUUCCUUUUGUUGUUUUUACUGUUUUCUUCAAUGACCAAGUUUUUCCCUUUUGCCGAGUGGGACAAAUGUGAACUAACUUGUGGUUAAUUUACUUCCUUGUUUGUGCAUUGAAGUAAUUAAUGACACACUUUGUAAUUAUGUGAGUGGUACUGACUAAUGCACUGGGUGCUAAUGGCACAUUCACAUAAGAUGCCAGCUUAAGAGGGAAGGCCUGAUCCUGAUGCCAUGGCUCAGAUUUAUUCUGUCCUGUCUUUUUUUUCCCUCCGUAUCUUCUUGAAGGCUUUUCAUGAAUAGAGAUGAUGCAAAGAGCAGGUUCUCUGGUAUAAAGUUAGCACUGAGGAAGGGGGCCCGUCGAGGGAAAAUGCCUGAGGAUUCAUCCCUGUUGCUGUCUCACCAAGUCCUUCCUUCAGCUCUGCAAGCUCUGACCUUCAGUCUUUCAUACCGAGCUCCUUGAACUCCUACUCUCUUCUUCCCUUACCUUGGGAACAGAUCCAGAAGAAAUCAAUCCUCAUGCUUGCCACACGCUUUCUCUUUGUUCUGCUGCCGUGCACUGAACACUUGUUGCAAGCAGCUUUUCCCCCUUCCACAUAGCUUGGGAGGAGGCGGAAAUAUAGAAGGAGACCAGCAAAAGCCAAGAAGUACAGCAUCAGGAGCCAUGUUUGAGCUGUUGACAGUGAACUUCCCGGCUUUUUAUGGCUUGCCUCAUACAGGCGGGGGUUAUGAAAUCGAGUCCCAUGGAGAUCUGUACGAAAACGAAUAUCUGCUUUUGUGUUUAGGUUUCCUUUUAAAAGUCAUUCGAGGCUGAGCUGGUGUCUACGGGUGCUGCUUUUACUUGUGCCUUUUUUUUUUUUAAAGCUUCACAACUUGAACAUCUUCUUCGUAAUGUAGAAAGAAAAGGGAAUGAGGGUGGCUUUUGUAACUUUUGUGUAUGUCCCUAUUGCAGAUCCCCCUCUCAAAUAAAGAACAAAAACAAAACA